GCUAGUGGUGAAAUUGGUAGACACACCUUCUUGCCAAGAAGAUGCACCUCGGUGCGUACGGGUUCGAGUCCCGUCUAGCA
rnacentral:tRNA from 1 species